rnacentral:rRNA from 1 species
GUGGUUUAAUUCGAAGCAACGCGAAGAACCUUACCUAAGCUUGACAUCUCAACGACAUCCCCUUCAUCGGAGAGUUCCCUUCGGGGACAUUGGUGACAGGUGGUGCAUGGUUGUCGUCAGCUCGUGUCGUGAGAUGUUGGGUUAAGUCCCGCAACGAGCGCAACCCUUGUCUUUAGUUGCCAUCAUUAAGUUGGGCACUCUAGAGAGACUGCCAGGGAUAACCUGGAGGAAGGUGGGGAUGACGUCAAAUCAUCAUGCCCCUUAUGCUUAGGGCUACACACGUGCUACAAUGGGUAGUACAGAGGGUUGCCAAGCCGUAAGGUGGAGCUAAUCCCUUAAAGCUACUCUCAGUUCGGAUUGUAGGCUGAAACUCGCCUACAUGAAGCUGGAGUUACUAGUAAUCGCAGAUCAGAAUGCUGCGGUGAAUGCGUUCCCGGGUCUUGUACACACCGCCCGUCACACCACGGGAGUUGGAGACGCCCGAAGCCGAUUAUCUAACCUUUUGGAAGAAGUCGUCGAAGGUGGAAUCAAUAACUGGGGUGAAGUCGUAACAAGGUAGCCGUAUCGGAAGGUGCGGCUGGAUCACCUCCUUUCUAAGGAGA